CGAGACUCCCUCUCAAAAAAAAAAAAAAAACUGUUAGGUAUAUAUUACGGUAUAUAUAUUAAGGCAGACCUGGGUCGGUCUCAUACUGGAAUGCCUAUUAGCUGCAUGAGGGGAAACAGUAACCAGAAAGUAGAGGACUGGACAACAUCUGGACCAAGGGAUCAAAAUUAACAUCAAUAAGGAAGUCGCUAUGCACAGUUCACACUUAAGGACUGAGGAAGAGUUAUGUUCCAUCUCCUUGAAGUCCUAGAAUCAGGCGUUUCUUUAAGAGGCCCUACUUCCUCUAAUUGGAUAAUUCUAGAAACCGGUAUUUGAAUCUGAGGCGCCGUGGCUUAUGCCUGUAAUCCCAGCACUUUGGGAGGC
rnacentral:lncRNA from 1 species